UACGUAGGGAGCAAGCGUUGUCCGGAAUCAUUGGGCGUAAAGCGCGCGUAGGUGGCCUCAUAAGUCCGCUGUGAAAGUCAAAGGCUCAACCUUUGAAAGCCGGUGGAUACUGUGAGGCUAGAGUACGGAAGAGGCGAGCGGAAUUCCUGGUGUAGCGGUGAAAUGCGCAGAUAUCAGGAGGAACACCAAUGGCGAAGGCAGCUCGCUGGGACGUGACUGACGCUGAGACGCGAAAGCGUGGGGAGCAAACAGG
rnacentral:rRNA from 1 species